GACAGAGGUGCCAAGCGUUAGGCGGAAUCACUGGGCUUAAAGCGUGUGUAGGCGGGCGAUCAAGUACCUUGUGAAAUCCCACGGCUCGCCCGUGGAACUGCUGGGCAUACUGGGUCGUCUUGGGCCAACUAGGGGCAGCCGGAACAAGCGGUGGAGCGGUGAAAUGCGUAGAUAUCGCUUGGAACGCCGAAGGUGAAAACAGGCUGCUGGGGUUGUGCCGACGCUGAGACACGAAAGCCAGGGGAGCAAACGGG
rnacentral:rRNA from 1 species